rnacentral:ncRNA from 15 species
ACAAAGUAAAUUUUAUCUGGUGCCAUCGGCUUAAUAGGGAAUUUCGUGUAAUUCGGAAACGGGCCCGCCGCUGUAAUCGGUGACAAAUGCUGCAAUAUGCCACUGUUGAUAUAAUGGGAAGGCGCGGCAUGAGGAUGAUCCGCAAGUCAGAAUACCUGCCUGGUAAAACAUAGGAAAA